AACCUUGAAAUACCACCCUUUAAUGUUUGAUGUUCUAACCUGGCGCCGUGAUCCGGCGUGGGGACAGUGUCUGGUGGGUAGUUUGACUGGGGCGGUCUCCUCCCAAAGUGUAACGGAGGAGCACGAAGGUCAGCUAAUCCUGGUCGGACAUCAGGAGGUUAGUGCAAUGGCAUAAGCUGGCUUGACUGCGAGAGUGACGGCUCGAGCAGGUGCGAAAGCAGGUCAUAGUGAUCCGGUGGUUCUGUAUGGAAGGGCCAUCGCUCAACGGAUAAAAGGUACUCCGGGGAUAACAGGCUGAUACCGCCCAAGAGUUCAUAUCGACGGCGGUGUUUGGCACCUCGAUGUCGGCUCAUCACAUCCUGGGGCUGAAGUAGGUCCCAAGGGUAUGGCUGUUCGCCAUUUAAAGUGGUACGCGAGCUGGGUUUAGAACGUCGUGAGACAGUUCGGUCCCUAUCUGCCGUGGGCGCUGGAGAAUUGAGGGGGGCUGCUCCCAGUACGAGAGGACCGGAGUGGACGCAUCACUGGUGUUCGGGUUGUCAUGCCAAUGGCACUGCCCGGUAGCUAAAUGCGGAAGAGAUAAGUGCUGAAAGCAUCUAAGCACGAAACUUGCCCCG
rnacentral:rRNA from 1 species